GUUUAAGGACCACAUUUCAUCCUCUCUAAUGUAAGAUGAGGUAUUUGUAGUACAGCAUCCUGAAAUCUAAGCAAAGAAGCUCCAGAAGUUGGCAUUAUUUCCUCUUAAUCAGUAUGAAAUAAUUCUAGCUUUGCUAUGAAAAUGAAACAACCCUAGUCAUAGGAGAUACAUCAUGACACAGAAAAAUUAGAAAACACUGUGAGCUCUGCACAGCAAGAUUUGUAAGCCUGCCAGCAGAAUCACAAACUCGCACGGCUCUAAUUUGUCUAGGAAAAAGGGGUGUUUAAUUGCUGUGCAUAAUAAACACACAAACAUCAGAAAGCAGCCCCAGAUAACAUGCACAAGUAGUUUCCAGCUGUACUGCUAAGGAAACCUAAAAGUGAUUUAUUUUAUACCUUGAUCUUAAGUCCAAUAAAUCAGAUUAAAAUCAAAUGGCCACAUUUCCCUAAGUGCUGAGCACUCAGUCUGGCUGGCCUGGCCACCCAGCUCUUUUGGAAGCACACUGAUUUGGGUUAGGAGUCUGCAGGGUACGGUGCCAUGAGCAGUGCCUGAGCUUCCAGGGGCUCCUCAAACAGUCACUGCUCACUUGUUCAAUUAGCCCACACCAAGCCAAGCUCCUGAACUCCCUUGCUGAGAGCUAACUCUGGUCAGUCUCAUCUCUGCUCUCUGUGCAAAUCCCCUAAGCAUCCACUGGCUGCUUCCUAAAGCCUCCCAGGUUGUGUGGCCUGAUGAGAUCCUCCAGAGACCAGCCCUUGGAAGCUGUUGGGGAAAUACAAGGGAACUGCACUGCUGGAAAAGGGACUGGACUGCUGGAAAGGAAACUGGACUGAUGGAAAAGGAACUGGACUGA
rnacentral:lncRNA from 1 species